GUCACUUAGCUGCCUUUCUUGUUUCUCAGGAGGGACUCCGGUUCUGAUGUCGGUGCUAUUUUUCAGCUGAAACUGUACUGCCUUAUGCUGGCUCUCCUAUUGAUCCAUGGAAUCGGUUGCUCCGAGUUCCGGAUUACACUUUACCUAAAGGAUCGCUGUGCAAAGAAUCCACUAGAUAUGUAACGUUGUGUCAACCACCUCACGGAACCGCCAAACUUGUCUCUAUGCAAACACUGAAACGACACACCUCUCGGUCCCUUACGAGAAAGAAGCUGCUCUAAAAGUAUCAAUACUUAUUCAAAAUUGUAAGGAAUUGCGGGACCGCUUCCACAUUGUGGAAAGGAUCUCUAUUAAAACCAGUAAACUUCAUAAAAAACUGGUAGGAGUAGUAGUCCUACUGUUGUGUCAAUGAUAAAUGUCUCAAAGUGCUAAACACUGGGAUGUGAUCU
rnacentral:lncRNA from 1 species